CAAGCUCCUCUCAUUCUGUGUGGGAAGCACUGUCCCAAGCCACUCUUCUUCCCAGGUGGCCUGGAGAGAUGCUCUAAGUUCAGUGCCCAUCACAUUGUAAAACUUCACUUAUACAUAUAAUACUCUCUUAUAUGUAUAUGUGUUAUAUAUGUAUAUGUUAUUUUCAAAAUAUACAUUUAUUUAAUCUGUCCCCACCUAAUGCAGAACCAUAGAGUUAAUGUUAACAGUUGAGGGCUAUUGUACUGGAUAACCUUGUUCCAGUAACACUGGCAGUGUAGCCUGUGUACCGACACUCAAAACUGAUUCUGGAUCAAAUAGUAAACAGAAAAAUUAACUGUGUGAAUCCACACUCUAAUAAAUUUAUGGGGAAAAAUGUGCUUGUGUGACAGAGAUGACAAUCUCUAUUCACAGGAGGACUAGACCCAAACACUACUGUCGCUUUCCCUGACUGCUAAGUUAUUCAGAACACCCAAAGAAUGGCUGUUAGUUCUAGAUCACGCACAUCAGCCUCUAGUAUUACUGUUGGGAGCUCACCUUAAGAAAUCCAGUAGGGCCAGUCCCUUAACAGAAGACUCGUGUUUGCUUUAACACACAAGAACAAAAAGGGUCAGAAAGUUCAAGUAGCACUUUCACCAGUCCCACCUCAGAGCGCUGCACGUCCUGACUUUACAACAUAGCAACCGGGAAGGAAACAUCAGCCACAUCCGUGUACCCUGCUGUUCUGAGCUUUCCCGUUAACCGUGACAAAGUUGGAUACUUGGGAGCUGGCUUGCCAAGUAUUAAGAGCAAUCUAACAGGGCAGGAAGAGAACCAUUAUUAUUACUUAUAGCAAGGUACGAAGUGCUCUCGGGAUGGGUCUGAAGCUAUGAGGCUAUCUAGAAACCUUUGCCCAGGUACACAAGAGAAUGUCUGUGAAAAGAGAGCACUACAGUCAGGAGCAAAACAAGCCAGCUGGUGUCCCACACUUGGAAUCACAGCCCCCAGGAGGCUAAAGUAUGUGAGGCUCGCAAGCUGGAGUCCAGCAUGGGCUACACAGCGAGAUCCUGUCUCAAUAAACAGACAAGGCAAUCGCAGUAACGAGAGGAUGGGCCAGUUCUUGGAUCUGAUACUGUGGCGUAUUUGUCUCCAGAACAGAAAAACAGUUCCAACAUAUUAUGAAAGGGUUUGCAUUUUAGAAAGCUAGAUGUUCUUGUCUUGAUACACACUUAACUACUUAUCCUUGAUUUCUGGUUUAAAACAGUAUCACUCUGAAUUUCAAGAAAGGGAACGACAUCGCCUUCCACUUUAACCCCCGCUUCAAUGAGAACAACAGAAGAGUCAUCGUGUGCAACACGAAGCAGGACAAUAACUGGGGAAGGGAAGAAAGACAGUCAGCUUUCCCCUUUGAGAGCGGCAAACCAUUCAAAAUACAGGUCCUGGUUGAAGCCGACCACUUCAAGGUUGCGGUCAAUGAUGUUCAUCUGUUGCAGUAUAACCAUCGGAUGAAGAACCUCAGGGAAAUCAGCCAACUGGGGAUCAUUGGUGACAUAACCCUCACCAGCGCUUCCCACGCCAUGAUCUAAGCCAGAAGGGGUGGGCCGGCACCAGAACUGCCCUGUGUGUUAUGAGCGGGAAACUUUGCAUUUCUCUCUCCUUAUACUUCUUGUAAGACAUCCAUUUAAUAAAGUCUCGUGCUGAGAGAU
rnacentral:lncRNA from 1 species